rfam:Hordeum vulgare subsp. vulgare, WGS project CAJW01000000 data, contig: morex_contig_56015
GAAGUACUCCCUGCGUCUUAAAAUUCUUGUCUUAGGUUUGUCUAGAAAUGGAUGUAUCAAAAUACUAAAACAUGACUAGGUACAUUCAUAUCUAGACAAAUCUANNACAAGAAUUUUGAAACGGAGGGAGUAGUAA